rnacentral:tmRNA from 1 species
UCGAAUCAAGGGAAGCGUGCCGGUGCAGGCAAUCGACCACCGUAAGCGUCGUUGCAACCAAUUAAGCGCCGAUUCCAAUCAGCGCGACUUCGCCCUCGCUGCAUAAGCGACGGUGAGUCUGUCAGACCGGGAGCGCCCUCGGCCCGGACCCUGGCAUCAGCUAGAGGGAUUCACCGAUACGUUCGGUCGCGGGAUGUAUCGGGACAUCACACAGCGACUGGGAUCGUCAUCCCGGCUUGUUCGCGUGAGCGGGAGAUCCGAGUAGAGACAUAGCGAACUGCGCACGGAGAAGCCUCGAGGGAAUGCCGUAGGACCCGGGUUCGAUUCCCGGCAGCUCCACCG